GACGAACGCUGGCGGCGUGCCUAAUACAUGCAAGUAGAACGCUGAAGGAGGAGCUUGCUCUUCUGGAUGAGUUGCGAACGGGUGAGUAACGCGUAGGUAACCUGCCUGGUAGCGGGGGAUAACUAUUGGAAACGAUAGCUAAUACCGCAUAAGAGUAGAUGUUGCAUGACAUUUGCUUAAAAGGUGCAAUUGCAUCACUACCAGAUGGACCUGCGUUGUAUUAGCUAGUUGGUGAGGUAACGGCUCACCAAGGCGACGAUACAUAGCCGACCUGAGAGGGUGAUCGGCCACACUGGGACUGAGACACGGCCCAGACUCCUACGGGAGGCAGCAGUAGGGAAUCUUCGGCAAUGGACGGAAGUCUGACCGAGCAACGCCGCGUGAGUGAAGAAGGUUUUCGGA
rnacentral:rRNA from 1 species